GACAAACAAAUAUCCAAUCAAAAGUACAGCCAUCUCCUUCAUUCAUUAUCAAAAGUCUUUACAAUUUCUUCAAGGCACUGCUGGCCCAAAAUACAUAGAAUAAAGUAUACAGCAUAAGCUGAGACCACGAAAACAUACUGUGAAGGUCUUCGGAAGACGACUUUUCAAACUUCUUAAUUUCGAACUUCAACCCCACCUUUAGCACAGGCUCCACCACGCUUCACUCUACAGUUAUAAAAUUAAGAUGGAAUGAGCUAAAACCCUAGUAAGCGGAUCUACACAAAUGCAUUCUAACUAGCAUAACAGUGAUAACAAAAAGCAAUGCACA
rnacentral:lncRNA from 1 species